GGUGCUGUCGAAGUGCGUGAGAGUUCACAUUUCAAUUCAACUCAGAGGGUCAUUUCACAUCCGGUUACUGCUAUUAUUCAAAAAAUGCUCAGAAGCUGAACUUUCAAUGGCGUCGUCUUCGUCUUGCUGAUUUAUACUUACUUUCUACUGCAUCUCACAGUCCACGCUGCUUGCAUAUAUCUACACACACACACACUUACACAUAUAUGUAUAUAUAGACAACCAAACCAAAACCCAACCAAAAACCGAAAAAAAAAAAAGAAAAAAAGCUACGAAAAUCACAUUUGUCAACUUAUCCUUUUCACCCGCCCGAUCUCGCUGAUCAAUUUCUAUCAACUCACCAGAUCUGAAGCAAGUGAAGAAAGAGAAUUUGUGUUUUUUGAUAAAGCAAAAUUAUUAGAGCAAAUACAUGUUCUAUGUAUGGCUUGGAAAUCAGGAGAUUGAUGUUGAUCUACUCAGAUUCUGGUGGUUAUGGCGGAGAUCUAAAAGCUUCUGUUAGUGUAUGCCUUGAAAUUUGUUCCUUUAAGCAGUGUUUGGUUAGUUGACGGAUCUCUUUUAAGUUUAUUUUUGUAGUUCUGGUAGUAGUGGAGCAGUAAUCUUUUGAUUAGGAUAAACCCUAGUUGGUAGAGUCACCGGCCAUGGAGACUCUAGUUGUUGUGGCCCAGCAUCGGAAUCAGUAUUAUAGUAGAAGUAAGGGUCAUGGACCCGAGCCAUUUGGGUCGUUUGAUUCGCCGCCGUCUAAGGAUUUUAGGGGGAUUAAUUGCCGGACUUUUCAAUCUGGUUCCGGCUUACUACCUACCCCAAUUAAAUCUUUCUCCUCUCCUGUUCCCAAACGGGUCUUUUCCCCUUCAUUUUCCCCCAAAACACCUUCUACCCUUCUUCAUUCACGAUCCGAAGAACCAAAGAAGUCCAAAAAGUUGGCCAAAUCUAGUAGCGCCAUUCCCAUCCCGAUGAAACUGAAAGUUGAUGUCGAUUAUAGCAGGUUGGCUUCUUCCUUCAGUGGUGAGUUUAAUUUCUCUGAACGCUGGGCUGGGCCUGCUUAUUCCAACUCCCCACCUCCUAGUUCUCUCCCCAUUCCCAAGUUUUCUCUCCGUCCAAAAAGGACUGUUUCGCUUGACUUGCCCUCUUCUUCGGCCUCUGACAUUGACUUUCGCCCUAUUGCCAAGUCUGCCCCUGCUUCCCCUACCAGGGAACGUAGCCCUUCCCCGGAUGAUUUGUUUCAUGAUGGUGUUAGCCUAAGUGUUGACUCAGCGACGAAGACCCUUCGUCGCAUCCUCAAUCUUGAUCUUACUGACGACUGAAUGGAGACUUGGAGCUCGCGCAGCUCCUGUGAAUAAGGAAGUUGAUUUUCUUUGAUAGCUGGGUUAGUGGUAGAUUCUAGAAUGUAUAUAUGGUGAAUAAAUGAGUCCUCUGCUUGACUUGAUAGUUAUGGUUGAUUAGUAGCUUUAUGUGGUGUCAGUGGUGCAAGAGACUUGGUGGCUGGUUGGUUGACUAUUUCCAAGUAUAUCAAGAUGAUAAUAGUUGAGAUGCGGUUGAGUAGUGUGGGGGUGCUAGGAGACGGAUGAAAGUUGGUUCAAUAUGUAAUGACAGCAGAAGGUGGAAUGCUGUGAAUGACGAAGCAGAUGUGGAAAGGGUUGUUGGUGCUUGCGGGCUGUCUUGUAAUGAAGCGGACAGACUGCUCAACUCUCUCUUUGGCUCAAAAUAGACUAAAAUCUUUCUUCACAGGGUUGCUCAUUCUCAUUGGACUGUUUUCAGAUAGAACACGAACUGUUUUCAGAUAGAACAGUUCGUGCUUUUGUUACAUUUUGUGUAUACAGUAGAGUCCUAACCUGAUUUGGCUCACUAGUUGAUAGGAUUGUAUUAAUCACUAUUCUUGCCUCUCGUUCAGAACCCAUCAUCCUAUAUAGUGCAUCCAGUUUCGAUUUCUUUGGUAGCCUAGUCUAUUUGCAGUCCUUUGACUUGUUAGGCUUUUUAGAUCAUUUUACACCUUAACUCUCUCAAUGCUGCCUAAAAUGGCUGCUGCUUCUUUCUCUUCUCUUGAUUCUCAUCUCUCUUUUUGCUUUUUGUCAAAUACUCCGGAUCCAAGUCCUUGGCUUUGCUAUGCAAAGUUGCAGUUACACCUUUCGCCAUUUUUCUGGUUUUUAAAAAGGAAAAAUGGGAAGGGGAUGUAGUUUUAGUUUGAUUUCGGCUUCUGCUAUACUCCUUUUUCUGCUUAGAAUCAAUCCGUAACUCUCCUGCACAGGAAGCCGAGUAGUUAUCAACCUUUGCAGGUGGGUUUGCACCUUUAUUCUUGUUGUGUGAAGUGACAUCUUUGUGGAUGGAGAUGGUUGAUCAUACCUAGCCAUUAAGAAGUGCGCUGGUAAAUGGAGCUAUGGAUGAGAAAUGUUAAGCAAGCCAAUUCCGAACUAGGCUCUCUUGCGCUGCACUUUUCUUUUUUAAUCCUGGUUUCUUUUAGCAAAAAGGGUCCUUGUGGAAAAUUGAUGCUUUUUGUAUUGGGCCUUGAGUCUGCAAGUUGCAUGCUGUUUUCCUGUUGGCUUGUGUCUCUUUUGAACUUCGAAUAAUGCUGUACUAGAUAGUUCGAGUAGUUUGUUUCCUGCAUGGGUUUUUUUUAUUUGGAUUCAAAUGGUAAUGCAUCGUCUUACAAUUGCUGUUUCUGGAUUUUCCAUUAUGCACGGUAAUAAAAUUUUUUUAUAGGAAAUGUGGCACGUUCCUGGUUUGCUUGCGCUGGGAAAUGUUGCAUUUGUUUGGUUGGACUGCAAUUUGGGAGUUUGAAGAUUUUGUCAAAAGUGUGAAAACAUUUCGUCUCCCCCUUGAUUAGGAGCUUCAGGCUCGUUAUGGGCGUAUUCAUGGAAAGGAACAGCUACUGCAA